rnacentral:lncRNA from 1 species
GCUUUAGUGUCAUGUGAUCUUGCAAGGAGGAGAAAAGAAAAUAAUGAAUGGUAGCUCGAGAGUUUUUUAUCGUGAGUUUUGUUUGAAGGUCUGUGAGUUCUACUCGACUCUUUGCCCUUCGGCUUGGGAUGGUCUGUGCCUUGGAUCAGAUCAGGCUCUCCCCAACUUUCCCUUCUCCGUCCCUCCUCCUAUCUUUUCUCUCUUUUUUUUUUUUGAGGGUCGGCUUCAACGAAGUCGGCCCGCGUGUGUGGAGGCUGAAAGGGGCUCAGUUGGAAGGGCGCACGUGCGGAGGCGUCGUCGGCCGAAGGAGGGGUACACGGAGGUCAUUGAAGGAA